CCUACGGGAGGCUGCAGUGAGGAAUAUUGGUCAAUGGGAGAGAUCCUGAACCAGCCAAGCCGCGUGAGGGAAGACGGCCCUAUGGGUUGUAAACCUCUUUUGUCGGGGAACAAAACCCGGGACGUGUCCCGGACUGCGUGUAUCCGGAGAAAAAGCAACGGAUAAAUCCGUGCCAGCAGCCGCGGUAAUACGGGGGAUGCGAGCGUUUUCCGUAUUUAUUGGGUUUAAAGGGUGCGUAGGCGGGCCGUUAAGGCAGCGGUAAAAUUGCGGGGCUCAACCCCGUCGAGCCGUUGAAACUGGGAGACUUGAGUGGGCGAGAAGUACGCGGAAUGCGCGGUGUAGCGGUGAAAUGCAUAGAUAUCGCGCAGAACUCCGAUUGCGAAGGCAGCGUACCGGCGCCAGACUGACGCUGAGGCACGAAAGCGUGGGGAUCGAACAGGAUUAGAUACCCGAGUAGUC
rnacentral:rRNA from 1 species